rnacentral:piRNA from 1 species
UGCCAGGAUGUUGCCAAAGCCUGCCACGCC